rnacentral:lncRNA from 1 species
CCCAGCCAGCACGGAGACUCCCUUCUCUCCUUCCACCUUCCUCUUGCACCCUUCCCCAGUCCUCUUCCCUUACUUCUCUCGAAAGUGAAAAGGGGAAAAGGGAAUUUUUAAAAAGCAGAACAGAGGUUUGGUUUAUAUAUUUUUUUUUCUUAUUUGGCCAUCCUGUGGCAUAUGGAGUUCCUGGGCCAGGGAUUGAAUCAAAAUCCUAGCCAGAGCUGCUGCAACAACAGAUCCUUAACCCUCUUUGCUGGCUGGGAUCGUACCUGUGUUCCUGCUGCUGUAGAGACACUGUAGAUCCCAGUGCACCACAGGGGGAACUCAUGGGUCCUAUUUUUGUCUGUUUGCUUUUUAAGGCUAUUUGAAGUCUCAGUUUCCAGAAGAGCCAGCAUUCAGUGGGGGUCACGGGGUCAGAAAGCUGUUCUGAUGGUGGGAUCAUGGAGAAUCAGAGAAGACAAUGUGGAUGCUUCCCCAGGCUGCCUCCAGGACCAGUCCCUGGGGACAAGGAGAGAGACAGCAAUCCAGGCAUGGGAGGGUCUGCGAUCAGUCACCCUGUCCAGAGCCCCCAGCCAUGACACCGCUGGAUCAGGGAUCAAACCACUGCAGUCAGAUUCUUAACCACAGUGCCACAGCGGGAACUCCUAAGCAGGUGACUCUGAAUGAAUGCAGCCUAUUCACCCAUGAGCCAUCAGUUCCAGGUAGGUCCCUGCCCUUGGGUGUUGAGCGCCUUCUGUGAACUUGGGGGAGGGGGGCUUGUCCAGGGCCAGGGGGAGUGGUAAUGUCUUGGGUAUAUCUGCUGAGUGACUGCUCUGUGCUUAGGUGGAGGGUGUCAGGGGUCAGGACUAAUCAGACCCAGUCGCUGCCCCCCAGGAGCCUCAGGUGGAAGCCGUGGUUCUUAAACUUCAUGUCAUGUCCCCUCAAAAGUGACCACAAUUCCAUGCAGGGGUUGUCACUGAUCAACUCGGAGUCUGAGCAAGAAAUGAUUCUUCCCCCUAAAGGGACAUAGCCUCCUCUCCCAGCUCUUGUUGUUGCCAUGCCAGGAGGGGUGUAGAGGGUGAAGUGCUGGGUCCCAGAGUGCCUGCCCCUCAUGAUGGCAGAAUGGCUGUUGGGGGGUUGCUAGGUGUGUGCAAAAGGCCAGCCAGCAUUCUGGGAGCACAGAGGAGGGUCACCUAACCUGCCCAAGCUCCAUGAAUGGAAGGGGCUCCCUGGAGGAGGUGGCCCAUGAGCUGGGUCUGAAGGGUAAGGAGGGGUUGCAGGAGUCCAGGUGAGGAGAUGAAGGCAGGAAUGUUGGGUAUGUGUGCAUAUGUCCUCAGGAAGGACAUAUUCAAAACCCCAGGGCCCUUACCUGUAUGGGCACAGGUGGGAUGAGCUGGGCAGCACUGCUCCAUCCAGGUGUGUGUCUGCAGCCACAGGACCUUCAGGGUGAAACGCAGCUGGGCCCACAGUUAGCUUUCAGGCAUAUAAAAUGAACCUGGGUAGAAGAAGAGGCACAGAUGGGUGGGGCGGGUAGAAAGAAAAGGAAAUACUGGUCACGAGGAAAGGAGGAGGAAUCUGAUACAAUGGAAGAAAGAGGUGGUUCUGGGCAGAGUUCCAGUUGCUCCACAUCUUCAUCAACAUUUUGUGUUAUCAGUCUUUUAAAUAUUAGCCAUUUUUGGGAGUGUGUAGUGUUAGUUAGUUGUGGUUUUAAUUUGCAUUUCCCUAAAGAUUUUUUUUUUUUGUCUUUUUGCUAUUUCUUG